rnacentral:rRNA from 1 species
AUGGCCAAAUAUUGGUGGAGUAGCAGCCUAGGUCGCCGGUAUUUACAUUGGUUAUCUUGGGACUCACUAGUUGCGCCAAAAGUUAAAGGAGGGAUGGGAUUCAAGGACCUGCAGCUCUUUAACCUAGCACUACUUGGCAAGCACGGGUGGCGCUUGAUGACGAAUCCCAACUCUCUGUGCUCACGGGUCUUAAAAGGUAGAUACUUUCAUUCCUUCGAUUUCAUGCAAGCCACUGCACCUAAGUACCCAUCGGCAGUGUGGCAGGCGAUAAUCGCAGGCAGAGAAGCUUUGAAGUCGGGCUUGAUUAAGCACAUUGGAAGUGGCACGACCGUUUCUAUCUGGGAGGACAAAUGGAUCCCCGAUACCAGAACGAUGAGUCUGGUUGCUCAUAUUGGUAAUGCGUAG